rnacentral:rRNA from 1 species
UACGAGGGGGGCGAGCGUUGUUCGGAAUUAUUGGGCGUAAAGGGUGCGUAGGCGGCCUGACAAGUCUGAUGUGAAAUCCCUGGGCUCAACCCAGGGCCUGCAUCGGAAACUGUCGGGCUUGAGUAUGGGAGAGGUGAGUGGAAUUUCCGGUGUAGCGGUGAAAUGCGUAGAUAUUGGGAGGAACACCAGUGGCGAAGGCGGCCUUCUGGACCAGCACUGACACUCAAGCACGAAAGCGUGGGGAGCAAACAGG